rnacentral:rRNA from 2 species
AGUACGUGAAACUGCUUAGAGGUUAAACCCGAUGAACCUGAAUAUCCAUUAUGGAAAAUUCAAUACUAAUAAUACAAUAUAACAUCAUAUUGUAAAAAUAGUGUGCAAUUUUUCCAUAUAAGGACAUUGUAAUCUGUUAAUGUAAUAAAUAUUUAUCAAAAGAUUCUUUACUUAAGUUUAUUUAAAUUGUUUAUUUUCGGAUAUUCAACAUAAAAUAAAUGUAUUGAAUCAGAUAAAUCAUUGACAGAUAUAAUUAUAUAUGGUGCUUAAAUUUUACGGAAUUUUGCAAUGGUAAAUAGUUCUUAUGAUCUAUUUAUUAUAUUGUUUGCGCUAUUAUGAUUAACAAUGCGAUAGAUUCAGGAUACCUUCGGGACCCGUCUUGAAACACGGACCAAGGAGUCUAACAUAUGUGCAAGUCAUUGGGUAUUUUUAAUAAAACCCAAUGGCAUAAUUAACUUAACUUAUUAUAAUGGGAUUAAUUUAUAAUUUAUUAUGAAUUAUUUAUUCAAUCCCGGGGCGUUCUAUAUAGUUAUGUAUAAUAGUAUUUAUAUUAUUUAUACCUCUAACUAGAGCGUACCUUGAGC